rnacentral:rRNA from 1 species
AGAGUUUGAUCCUGGCUCAGGACGAACGCUGGCGGCGCGCCUAACACAUGCAAGUCGAACGAGCGAGAGAGAGCUUGCUUUCUCGAGCGAGUGGCGAACGGGUGAGUAACGCGUGAGGAACCUGCCUCAAAGAGGGGGACAACAGUUGGAAACGACUGCUAAUACCGCAUAAGCCCACGGCUCGGCAUCGAGCAGAGGGAAAAGGAGCAAUCCGCUUUGAGAUGGCCUCGCGUCCGAUUAGCUAGUUGGUGAGGUAACGGCCCACCAAGGCGACGAUCGGUAGCCGGACUGAGAGGUUGAACGGCCACAUUGGGACUGAGACACGGCCCAGACUCCUACGGGAGGCAGCAGUGGGGAAUAUUGCACAAUGGGGGAAACCCUGAUGCAGCGACGCCGCGUGGAGGAAGAAGGUCUUCGGAUUGUAAACUCCUGUUGUUGAGGAAGAUAAUGACGGUACUCAACAAGGAAGUGACGGCUAACUACGUGCCAGCAGCCGCGGUAAAACGUAGGUCACAAGCGUUGUCCGGAAUUACUGGGUGUAAAGGGAGCGCAGGCGGGAAGACAAGUUGGAAGUGAAAUCUAUGGGCUCAACCCAUAAACUGCUUUCAAAACUGUUUUUCUUGAGUAGUGCAGAGGUAGGCGGAAUUCCCGGUGUAGCGGUGGAAUGCGUAGAUAUCGGGAGGAACACCAGUGGCGAAGGCGGCCUACUGGGCACCAACUGACGCUGAGGCUCGAAAGUGUGGGUAGCAAACAGGAUUAGAUACCCUGGUAGUCCACACCGUAAACGAUGAUUACUAGGUGUUGGAGGAUUGACCCCUUCAGUGCCGCAGUUAACACAAUAAGUAAUCCACCUGGGGAGUACGACCGCAAGGUUGAAACUCAAAGGAAUUGACGGGGGCCCGCACAAGCAGUGGAGUAUGUGGUUUAAUUCGACGCAACGCGAAGAACCUUACCAAGUCUUGACAUCCUGCGACGAUGCUGGAAACAGUAUUUUCCUUCGGGACGCAGAGACAGGUGGUGCAUGGUUGUCGUCAGCUCGUGUCGUGAGAUGUUGGGUUAAGUC